UACGUAGGGACCGAGCGUUGUCCGGAAUCAUUGGGCGUAAAGAGCGUGUAGGCGGCCUUUUAAGUCCUGCGUGAAAUCCUGCGGCUCAACCGCAGACGGUCGUGGGAAACUGGAAGGCUAGAGUGCGGGAGAGGAGAGUGGAAUUCCCGGUGUAGCGGUGAAAUGCGCAGAUAUCAGGAGGAACACCGGUGGCGAAGGCGGGACUCUGGGCCGAUACUGACGCUGAGGAGCGAAAGCGUGGGGAGCAAACAGG
rnacentral:rRNA from 1 species